rnacentral:rRNA from 1 species
CCUGUCGGUGUAACUGGCAUGUCGCGGCAUGUCCUGUCGGUGGUGAACGGGAUCCCCGGUGCGGCUUAGACUUAAUUGUCGAAGCUUGUACCGUGUGCGUUUCCGUUUGCCGAUCUCUCCUACUCCGGUGCUCUUAAACGAGUGUCGAGGUAGGCCGACACGUUCACUUUGAACAAAUUAGAGUGCUUAAAGCAGGCUGAAAUAUCUGCCUGAAUAGUGGUGCAUGGAAUGAUAAAACAGGACCUCGGUUCUAUUUUGUUGGUUUUAGGAAUAUGAGGUAAUGAUCAAUGUGGACUGGCGGGGGCAUUCGUAUUGCGACGUUAGAGGUGAAAUUCUUGGAUCGUCGCAAGACGCACUAGAGCGAAAGCAUUUGCCAAGUAUGUCUUAAUUGAUCAAGAACGAAAGUUAGAGGUUCGAAGGCGAUCAGAUACCGCCCUAGUUCUAACCAUAAACGAUGCCAGCCAGCGAU